GUCCUACUGGCUUUCUAGGUAACUUCUUGGUAGAACAUGAGACUCUACAUCUCAGCGCCGUGGGUUCCAGCCCCACGUUGUGCA